UAUCGAAAGCCCUCCCCCCUUACCGGCAGAAAGAGAAUCGAGAACACCCAAAAUAGUUUUAAAAAGCUUCUAACAGCUCGCAUUUCAAUAAAAUAAACCACUGAGCGUAACGUGUGUGUGUUGAGGCAGGCGGAGUUUGCAAGAAUUUGUUACGAAUUCAUGUGUUUGCUGAAUGUGUUCUGAAGGAGUCGUCGAUAGUCUUUUCAAAUACGGACAAAGAUGAGAGAAGAUAUAGCAGUCACUCUCCUCCAAAACACUGAAAAAUAUAUGUAAAGAUAUAGACUACGUGACAUUAUGUUUUGAGGGAUGACCUGAGCCAACUGUGCCACUUCUGUGGGGAGGUGGACAGUAAUGAAGGUUGGUUGUGACCGCUGCCCAUGAUGGUUCCACCAGUCCUGUAUGAAAACCAUCCCAUCAAUAGAGGAUUAUUAUCAUGACACAAGGUGAGACGCAGACGCAGACACAGGAGGCAGAUGGUUGAAGUCUUACAAUGUUUAUUAAUCCAAAGGGGUAGGCAAGAGAAUGAUCGUGUACAGGCAAAAGGUCAAAACCAGUUCAGAGUCCAAUAGGGACUGAAAGGUAGGCAGAAUCAAGGUCAGGGCAGGCAGGAUGAUCAGGCAGGCGGGAAAGUAGUCCAGAGUCAGGCGGGUCAAAACCGGGAGGACUAGCAAAAGAGAAUAGAAAAGGAGUACGGGGAAAACCACGCUGGUUGACUUGACUAAACAUACAUGACGAACUGGCACAGAGAGACAGGAAACACAGGGAUAAAUACGCAGGAGAAAAUAAGCGACACCUGGAGGGGGUUAAGACAAUCACAGGGACGGGUGAAACAGAUCAGGGCGUGACAAUUAUAUCUGCGCUGCCUGUCAGUACUAGGUUAGGCUUGAGUUCCAGGCGACGGUAUCACCUGGAAAACUUUCCAUAAAAAGUGGACUAAAUGUUCAGUCGAGCUGUUGCAGCUUUCCAAUAUUUGUUUAUGUUAUUUGCUUUUUUGUGCUCGGCAGAGGUAGCCUGACUGCCAAUAGGUACCGAGAUGAGAUCCCCCCUUGUGAGACCAUAUGCUGAUACAUGCACAUUUGUGGCCUGCUGGAGGUCAUUUUGCAGGGCUCUGGCAGUGCACCUCCUUGCACAAAGGCGGAGGUAGCGGUCCUGCUGCUGGGUUGUUGCCCUCCUACGGCCUCCUCCACGUCUCCUGAUGUACUGGCCUGUCUCCUGGUAGCGCCUCCAUGCUCUGGACACUACGCUGACAGACACAGCAAACCUUUUUGCCACAGCUCGCAUUGAUGUGCCAUCCAGGAUGAACUGCACUACCUGAGCCACUUGUGUGGGUUGUAGACUCCGUCUCAUGCUACCACUAGAGUGAAAGCACCGCCAGCAUUCAAAAGUGACCAAAACAUCAGCCAGGAAGCAUAGGAACUGAGAAGUGGUCUGUGGUCACCACCUGCAGAACCAUUCCUUUUUUGGGGGUGUCUUACUAAUUGCUUAUAAUUUCCACCUUUUGUCUAUUCCAUUUGCACAACAGCAUGUUAAAUUUAUUGUCAAUCAGUGUUGCUUCCUAAGUGGACAGUUUGAUUUCACAGAAGUGUGAUUGACUUGGAGUUACAUUGUGUUGUUUAAGUGUUCCCUUUAUUUUUUUGAGCAGUGUAUAAAACAACAGCUGAACAUUUGUUAUGUUCUUUGUUGAUUGUAUGUGUAUUAAUCUUUUCUUACUGUUGUUGACACAGAUUUCACCACUUCCCACUCCCACUUACUGCACAUCGGCGGAAAUCCAUUUCACCAUGAGAGUGCAAUCACGCUGGCCUUUGCUGGGGAGAACUUCCACGCCCUAGAGGACUUCCCCAUGGGACUUGGGGCUCUGUUAUGGCUCUAUUUUUUUCUUUUCCGUUAAAUUUCCCAAAAAAUGUCAGAAAUACUUAUGUUCUUAAGUUACUGUGUUCUGGGGAUAAGAGAAGUUGGGGUGAAGUUACCAGGGCCAGUCAUAAAGAUGGCAAACUUCCUAACAUAACUAAGUGGUUGUUGGACACACACAUUAAAGCUAAAAAAUCUGUAUUUAGCAUCAAGUCUACAAUAUUGUUAGUUUACCUAUGAUUCAUUUUUCAUGUAUGUUGUUUUUAUUGUACAUUAUUUUAUUGAAAAUAAAAUGUCAUGAAAAGCACUAUACAAAGUAAAUGUAUUAUUUAUUAUGGUCUGACAUGUCUGCAGAAAUGUUGCAAUUUUGUAAUGUGUUUUGCUUGUUUUGUAAAUAUUAAUUCACAUUUGUGGUGCCA